rnacentral:lncRNA from 1 species
CUUGUCUCAUUUUCUCCUUUCCUUCUCCUGUAUUUCUAGUUGCCUCAUAAAGUUACUAAUACACCUGGCGCCGUUAAUAUCUUGGCUUCUACACUUGCAGACAAUCCUGAAAGAAGUCCUUGACCACUGCUCUAAGCUUCGAACCAGCUUUCAGCCUCAUAUGGCUUUCAACGAAGUGUUUCUCCUGAUCUGGGAUUCAGAGCCUGCACCUGUUUCUGAAGUGACUUCUUAAAUUUUCACUUCGGGACAACGCUGUCUCCUUGACCCUUCAUCUGAAGGUAAGACCUGCCAUUUCAACUCGCAGCACCACACCAACGUUGUUG